rnacentral:rRNA from 1 species
UACGAAGGGGGCUAGCGUUGUUCGGAUUUACUGGGCGUAAAGUGCACGUAGGCGGUUUGUUAAGUCAGGGGUGAAAUCCCAGAGCUCAACUCUGGAACUGCCUUUGAUACUGGCAAGCUCGAGUCCGGAAGAGGUAAGUGGAACUCCUAGUGUAGAGGUGGAAUUCGUAGAUAUUAGGAAGAACACCAGUGGCGAAGGCGGCUUACUGGUCCGGAACUGACGCUGAGGUGCGAAAGCGUGGGGAGCAAACAGG